CUUGCAAACACAGCAACCGUGGUGCUUUUCCCCUGGGAGGAGCAACCUGUGCAUGAAGGAAGCUUCACCUUGCUGCCUGGAGGGGCUGACAACCCAUCCAUGAGCAGGCAUUUCCUACUGCUAUGCUUGGCAGGGCUGUGGGGCUGGGAGCAGGUUCAUCACUCUCCUUUGCUGCUUCCCCAUCACCUCCUCCACACGGAGCAAAUUGGCGGGUGCUGAGAUUUACUGGAUCAGUUGUCCUGUAUUAAAAAGAGAAACCCAAACCCACCAGGGACCUUCACAUUGUGCAUCCUGUCUGUGUGCAUCCUGUCUGUGUGGUGUAAAUACCCUCUGUGCUGCUCUUUCCGAUUGACUGGUCCCUCGCAGAGGAGCCAGCCCGGGGGCUUGUAGAGUUUUCACAGCUCUAACAAAGCUCUGAAGGACAGGAAAGGACAACAGGCAUUGGAAUCCGACUGUUCUGCGCCAGCGCCCUCCUUACUGCAAUUAUAUUCCUGUUAGAAACCUCCACCUUAUUUAAAGAGACAUUGUCAACUGCCUCAAAGCUCCUUUUCCUAAAUCUUGCAAAGCCAUUGAGAUGUGUUUUAAUGACACAAAGGGAAACAUUGUAGAUAAAGAACACUGAUAAACUAGAGAUGCUUCUCUUUUUUUAGGGUCUUGUAUCUAAUGAAUUAAAAGAGCUACAUAAACUUCAAUCAGUUAAUCACUAUAGUCCCUUUUGACAAAAUUAUCUCUGUUUCCAGAUGAGGCGAGUGAGAUGAGAUGAGUGAUCUGCCCAAGGUUGAUCAGUGAGCUUGUGGCAGAGCACACAGGAUGCUCUGAAAUUAUCUGGCUUUACAGCACAACCCAGUAUUUGAUUGUCAGUCAUAGGAGGAAAUAUUCCCCAGAGGCAUCACGGUGCACUACGAUGUAGUCCCUGCUCUAGGAAGAGCUCAAGCACAUGCAGUGUCAGAUCCAAGGUCCGAGCCUGGAUGGGUUCCUCAUCUUGGCUGCUCUGAUGGGCUGUGCUUACCAGUGUACAGUGAUGAAAGACUGCUCCAGGACUCAGGGAAGGGAGUUUGCUGCGAAACUCCAGGCUCACCACCCCUCACUUCAAAGACUGCAGAUUAUCAGGAACCUCCUAAAUGCUUCUCUGACACGUGUCUAUCUGUUGGCUGUCACCAGUGUCAUUGUGCAGGUGUCCUGUUCUUCCAGCAUCACUGCCAUGGUACUUAAGGUCUUCUUCCCGUCAUGCUGCUCCUCGGCAGAAAGUGGCAUCUUGGUCGGCCGCUGGCUCUCGGAGCAGAACUCUGCUGUCAUCCUUGCCGUGGUGCAUUUCCCUUUCAUUCCUGUCCAGGUGAAGCAGUACCUCAGUGAAGUCCAACGGGUGACUAAAGUCAAUGUUUCUGUGCUCGGCUCCUGGAGCAACAGCAAACAGGAGAAAGAAGAGAAUCUCAGUAAGUUCUUGGAAGACCUUGGGACAAUAUUCUCCCAUGAGCCAUGGAUUCAGAUAAGCAAAGAGGGAGACAGCAAAUUCUGGAGCUGUUCUACUCUUCAGAAACUUGCUAACAACCCUAAGGAGGAAGAAGUCAUCUUAAUAUACUAUGACCAGCGCAAAGUCAUGCUUUCCCAUCUGCAUCCUCCUUUGGACACAGCUACCUCCACUGACCAUGAGGCAGAUGAUGCUUCAAAGCUCUCUGCCAUCUUCCACACAGUUGCAAAGAGUAAGAUACUCUUCAUGACAGACAGGUAUGAUGACGGGCCCAUCAAGCUGACCCACUGGCAGUCAGAUGGCGUUGAAGCCAGUAUCAUUGUGGAGCUGAUGAAGCAGGCCUCUGUGCCUGCAUGCAUGCUGCUGACAUUCCUGCUUUCACUUGUCUCUGGGAUCUGCAGGAGCAGGGUACUCAAGUUUUGGCCUUUGUCUUUCUUAUGGAGCAAACUCUCAACUUGUGAGCAGCUGGGACAUCGCCUCCAGCACCUCCAGGUCAUCAGCAGCAGCAAGAAGGCUCAAACCCAGACUCAACUCAUGAGGAAAGCCAACAUCUUUGUCUCUCUGCUGAUUGAUGUGGCUCUGGGGAUACUACUGAUGUCCUGGCUGUACAGAAAGAACCGAAUUGGUCACCUUGCUGACACUCUCAUCCCUGCAGCUGAUCACGUAGCUGAAGAGCUCCAGGACCUGCUUCAGUGGCUAAUGGGAGCUCCAGCUGGACUGAAAAUGAACCGAGCUUUGGAUCAGGUUUUGGGACGCUUCUUCCUUUACCACAUCCAUCUUUGGAUAAGCUACAUACACCUGAUGUCCCCAUUCAUUGAGAUGAUCCUCUGGUAUGUGGGUCUGUCGGCUUGUCUGGGCCUGACCGUGGCUCUCUGCAUCCUCUCUGACAUCAUUGCACUUCUGACCUUCCACAUCUACUGCUUCUAUGUCUAUGGAGCCAGGCUCUACUGCCUGAAGAUUUACGGCCUGUCGUCGCUCUGGCGCUUGUUCCGUGGGAAGAAGUGGAACGUCCUUCGGCAGCGGGUGGAUUCCUGCUCCUACGACUUGGACCAGGUAGUGCUGCAGCACCAGGGGCUUGCGGCAGGAUGCUGCCCACGGGUAGUACAAUCCUAUCCUACCUCGGUUAUUUAUUGGCACUUUGCUGUUCACAAUCCUGCUGUUCCUCCUGCCUACAACUGCACUUUAUUAUUUGGUGUUUACCCUGCUCCGUUUGCUCGUGGUGAUUGUGCAAGGCCUCAUACACUUGCUGAUGGACCUGAUUGACUCUCUGCCUCUUUAUUCAAUCCUCCUUCGGCUCUGCAGAUCCUACAGACUCGCCGCUGGUGUGAAGUUCAGAGUCCUUGAGCAGCAGGAUGGAAAACCUCUUCGCCUCCUUAUGCAGAUCAACCCUCUGUCAUAUGGCAGUGUGGUACAGAUGUACAGGCUGCCAACCUACAGCUGUUACCCCAAGGACUCCUGGACAUCUCUCUGCAAGAAGCUGUUCCUUGGAGAGCUCAUCUACCCUUGGAAACACAAAGGAGAGAAGCAGGACUAAAGACAGCAAGAGAGCUUGAGAGACGUGGUCAAACGAACAAAUUGCUUUUGGACCAAAGGCAUCUCAGAGCCAGCAACUGUGACAUCCCUUUAAUUAGACUUUGGUAACCUGGAGGGGCUGAAUUUCUAAAGGCAGGUAUUUUUAGACGUUAUUUUUCAACUUUCCUCUUCCCCUACACUAUGUUCAUGUCAUAUGGUAAUGAUUAUUUUUAAAGCAAAAGGUUAAACCCGUCAUGGAACCAGCAUUCAGUGUCAUUGAGGAUGUACCUCCCAAGCGGGGUGAUGAUGUGUGUAUCCUUCCAUUGUAAGCUCACGGGGCCAAAUUAAAACAGCCCUUUGGGUGGUUCAGAGCCACAACUCUGAGGUGCAUUCUGCCAAAAGGAAUUUUGGACCGUUUUAUUCUCCAGCCUUCAAGCCAGCUGGUCAAACCCAAGAUGGAGGAUCAGCUUCUAGAGUCACACACUGAAAACUGCACAGCAGCAUUACCUGGGUUCACAGAUAUUUAUUCUUUUCCUUUUGGGUGGGCUUAGAUUCACCCCCUCUGCAGCACCAGGGGAGUUGUCAAGCAUAGAAACAGCAGGGCUGGAGGGUCAGAAACACAGACUCCGGUACAUUUGUGCAUGUAUGGUCUCAUGUACAUUUAUUCAAAAGCAAAUGGUGGCUUGUGGUGAGCUGAGCCCUGAGCUGUCACCAGAAGUGCAGAGCACACAGCCUCAGCCCCCAGGCUGCGCAGGCUUUAUGUGGCAGUGAGCUGUGGUACCUGGGAGCUCUGGGCUCUGCCAGGUUGCAGUGUAAGGCAAACACAGAUUUGCUGGGCCCAGGUCUGGCUGGUGGGUCUGCUGGAGCAGCAGCACGACCAGCUCAGGGAAGCGUGUGCUGCGCAUCCUUACAGGAUCAGAACAUCCCCUGCUUCUCAGGUGAGAGCCUCGCCCUGUGGUGCCUCAUCUUUUGCACUUUCAAGUCAAGGAGCUUUUAAAGUUAUCUCAGAUAUGAGGCAUUUAAAGAUACUUCCUUCCCUGAAAC